AGGAAUAUUGGUCAAUGGGCGCAGGCCUGAACCAGCCAAGUAGCGUGAAGGAUGACUGCCCUAUGGGUUGUAAACUUCUUUUAUAAAGGAAUAAAGUCGGGUAUGUAUACCCGUUUGCAUGUACUUUAUGAAUAAGGAUCGGCUAACUCCGUGCCAGCAGCCGCGGUAAUACGGAGGAUCCGAGCGUUAUCCGGAUUUAUUGGGUUUAAAGGGAGCGUAGAUGGAUGUUUAAGUCAGUUGUGAAAGUUUGCGGCUCAACCGUAAAAUUGCAGUUGAUACUGGAUAUCUUGAGUGCAGUUGAGGCAGGCGGAAUUCGUGGUGUAGCGGUGAGAUGCUUAGAUAUCACGAAGAACUCCGAUUGCGAAGGCAGCCUGCUAAGCUGCAACUGACAUUGAGGCUCGAAAGUGUGGGUAUCAAACAGGAUUAGAUACCCUGGUAGUCCACACGGUAAACGAUGAGUACUCGCUGUUUGCGAUAUACUGCAAGCGGCCAAGCGAAAGCGUUAAGUAUUCCACCUGGGGAGUACGCCGGCAACGGUGAAACUCAAAGGAAUUGACGGGGGCCCGCACAAGCGGAGGAACAUGUGGUUUAAUUCGAUGAUACGCGAGGAACCUUACCCGGGCUUAAAUUGCAGAUGAAUUACGGUGAAAGCCGUAAGCCGCAAGGCAUCUGUGAAGGUGCUGCAUGGUUGUCGUCAGCUCGUGCCGUGAGGUGUCGGCUUAAGUGCCAUAACGAGCGCAACCCUUGUUGUCAGUUACUAACAGGUUCCGCUGAGGACUCUGACAAGACUGCCAUCGUAAGAUGUGAGGAAGGUGGGGAUGACGUCAAAUCAGCACGGCCCUUACGUCCGGGGCUACACACGUGUUACAAUGGGGGGUACAGAGGGCCGCUACCACGCGAGUGGAUGCCAAUCCCCAAAACCUCUCUCAGUUCGGACUGGAGUCUGCAACCCGACUCCACGAAGCUGGAUUCGCUAGUAAUCGCGCAUCAGCCACGGCGCGGUGAAUACGUUCCCG
rnacentral:rRNA from 1 species